AACUCUUUAGCAUAAUAUAAUGCAUUAAGCUUAGAACUUAAAAAUAAGAAAAAUCUUAAGAGUAA
rnacentral:tRNA from 1 species